UAUGAUUCUACGAUUCUGUUGAUAGAGAUGGAGGAACACGGGAGGUGCAGUGAGUAUCCUCUGCUCCCUUUACUCCAGGGUCUCCAAUGGUGAAACAGCUUUGCUUUGUACAAUAUUCAUAGAUCUUCUGAUGUACAGAGCUAUAAGAGUACAAGCAUCAAGUCAGGCUAGAGGAAAUGGCAUUUCCUGAAGGUUUGCAGGUGCCAGAGUUGUCACAGAUGUGCUGCAUGGGGUCUAACAGGAAGUACCUGCAUUUCAGCAACUAGCGAAAUAAUUAUUAUAAAGUUCUUACAUUCUAGGACUCUAGGAAGAAAAGAGCUCUCUCAAUGAAAGAUGCUGCAGGACAGUGACUCACUGGGUUUUAUGCAUGCUACCCGUAUUCCCAUCUCAGAAAAAAACCAUAAGAGGAUGCCUUAUUAAAUUAUCUGUUCAACUA